GCCGCUCUGUGCUAGUCGUUAGCAAGCUAGCCGGCUAAAUAGCACAAACCGCUCCGCGUGAUGCGGGUCUGUGCGGUUAUCGCUCUGCGUAUUCAACAACUACAACUCCCAUGAUGCUUUGGACAGAACCUGAUGAUCCUGAGACGUGUGAUGGAGGCUGGAGGAGCCGCCGUCACUCCUCUGUUAAAUGUCACUGGUUGAAUCAUCUGAUGUCAUUUAUGAAGAUAAGAAGGUUCAUAAAGAGGCUGAUAAUAUUGAUUUAUUUAUUUAUUUAUUUAUGACUGGAAACAUUAUUUAGACACAUUUUUACACACGACGUCCCCGUGAAUUUACGACCUGUUGUCUGCUAACGAGGCCUCGCUGUGUCUGGAUGUUAUUAAUAUCAGGCUGUUGUGGGUUGAACUGUUUUCUAUUGGUUGGUGUUAUUUGAAUAAAUACAUUUAAAAGAAAGAAGAAUACGUGUUGAUUCUUUUGGCUGAUUUAUAACUGGAGUGCUGUUUUAGAUUCUCUCAGAGUGAAUGAUGAUGCAUUCAGGUGUCUUAUUUUUUCUGACCAACAAUCCAAAACUCAAACAUGUUCAGUUUCUGGUCACAAAGAAAAGCAUUAAAUCACAUCUGAGAAGCUGAAAUCUGCACAUUUUGGGGCAUUUUUUCUAACAUAAAACUGAUGAUUGACUCGUUGCAGAUCUAAAAAAAAGUCCCAGAGACAGUCAGUGGAAAUGUGCAUCUAUUUACAUAUUUUUAAAUCUGUUCAGUGGAGGUUAUUUGAGGUAAAACAUGAGACAUUUCAAACAACGAAAAGGAGAUUUUUGUCUUUUAUUGACGAGUGUUCAGCACAUUCUGACAGGAUGAGAUGAACUGUUGUCUUCCGGUGGCUUCAGUUUGAGGCCCGCUCAGUGAAACUCAACUCAGCAGCAGAGAAAUAAAUUAAAACAGGAUCAACGUUAACAAAAAGCAGCUCAGGACAAAAGAAAGAAAAAAGGCACAGA